GGCGGCAGGCUUAACACAUGCAAGUCGAGCGGGCGUAGCAAUACGUCAGCGGCAGACGGGUGAGUAACGCGUGGGAACGUACCUUUUGGUUCGGAACAACACAGGGAAACUUGUGCUAAUACCGGAUAAGCCCUUACGGGGAAAGAUUUAUCGCCGAAAGAUCGGCCCGCGUCUGAUUAGCUAGUUGGUAGGGUAAUGGCCUACCAAGGCGACGAUCAGUAGCUGGUCUGAGAGGAUGAUCAGCCACAUUGGGACUGAGACACGGCCCAAACUCCUACGGGAGGCAGCAGUGGGGAAUAUUGGACAAUGGGGGCAACCCUGAUCCAGCCAUGCCGCGUGAGUGAUGAAGGCCCUAGGGUUGUAAAGCUCUUUUGUGCGGGAAGAUAAUGACGGUACCGCAAGAAUAAGCCCCGGCUAACUUCGUGCCAGCAGCCGCGGUA
rnacentral:rRNA from 1 species